CUGGCUCAGGAUGAACGCUGGCGGCGUGCCUAAUACAUGCAAGUCGAACGGCAGCAGCAAUGCUGUAGUGGCGAACGGGUGAGUAACACGUUGGUGACCUGCCCCAAAGAUGGGAAUAUCGCCUGGAAACGGGUGGCAAAACCGAAUAAGCUUGAGGGAGUUAGAGAGCCUCAAGUAAAAGAGGAAUCUACUUUGGGAGGGGCCUGCGGCCCAUCAGUUAGUUGGUGAGGGUAACGGCCCACCAAGACGGCGACGGGUAGGGGACCUGAGAGGGUGGUCCCCCACAAUGGAACUGAAACACGGUCCAUACACCUGCGGGUGGCAGCAGUAGGGAAUAUUGCUUAAUGGGCGAAAAAGCCUGAAGCAGCAACGCCGCGUGGACGAAGGAGGCCUUCGGGUCGUAAAGUCCUUUUAUGUGGGAAAAGGAAGGAUGGUACCACAUGAAUAAGUCUCGGCUAACUACGUGCCAGCCGCCGC
rnacentral:rRNA from 1 species